GACGAACGCUGGCGGCGUGCCUAAUACAUGCAAGUUGAGCGCUGAAGGUUGGUACUUGUACCAACUGGAUGAGCAGCGAACGGGUGAGUAACGCGUGGGGAAUCUGCCUUUGAGCGGGGGACAACAUUUGGAAACGAAUGCUAAUACCGCAUAAAAACUUUAAACACAAGUUUUAAGUUUGAAAGAUGCAAUUGCAUCACUCAAAGAUGAUCCCGCGUUGUAUUAGCUAGUUGGUGAGGUAAAGGCUCACCAAGGCGAUGAUACAUAGCCGACCUGAGAGGGUGGUCGGCCACAUUGGGACUGAGACACGGCCCAAACUCCUACGGGAGGCAGCAGUAGGGAAACUUCGGCAAUGGACGAAAGUCCGACCGAGCAACGCCGCGUGAGUGAAGAAGGUUUUCGGAUCGUAAAACUCUGUUGGUAGAGAAGAACGUUGGUGAGAGUGGAAAGCUCAUCAAGUGACGGUAACUACCCAGAAAGGGACGGCUAACUACGUG
rnacentral:rRNA from 1 species